UAACGCGAAGAACCUUACCAGGUCUUGACAUCUUCUGCUAACCUAAGAGAUUAGGCGUUCCCUUCGGGGACGGAAUGACAGGUGGUGCAUGGUUGUCGUCAGCUCGUGUCGUGAGAUGUUGGGUUAAGUCCCGCAACGAGCGCAACCCUUAUUGUCAGUUGCCAGCAUUUAGUUGGGCACUCUGGCGAGACUGCCGGUGACAAACCGGAGGAAGGUGGGGAUGACGUCAAAUCAUCAUGCCCCUUAUGACCUGGGCUACACACGUGCUACAAUGGACGGUACAACGAGUCGCGAAACCGCGAGGUCAAGCUAAUCUCUUAAAGCCAUUCUCAGUUCGGACUGUAGGCUGCAACUCGCCUACACGAAGUCGGAAUCGCUAGUAAUCGUGGAUCAGC
rnacentral:rRNA from 1 species